rnacentral:lncRNA from 1 species
GGCCACAGAGGCACUGUGGCUAUGAUAUUCUGAAGAAGAUUGAGUGAAUCCAAAAUAAAAGGUAAUUUAACAUAAGUGACAAAUUCAGCAGACACUGAGGAAAAAGAAGACGCUUUAUAGUCCAAGACCUCCCUCAGUUUCUCCCAUUACUCCACAUGCGGACAAAUUUGUGCCCCCCCAUUAGGGCACAUCACAUCCUGUUCUCCUGAGUAAGCGUCUGUGGGUAAAAGCCAUUGCCCGUUGCUGCCAUUUCCCAGCUUUCUUGGCUGUUAAGGAGAGAAAUUAGGUGAAGAAAUACAAAUCUCUUUCUCUCUCAAUGCCAGAGCUACAACUUCCACAUUUCUUACUCAAGCAAGAAAACAGAACUGGAGACCUUCUUCUCUCUCAGUAAUCAAAAUAGACCCAGAACUUCAAGAAGAUCUUUGGGUUCAUCCUUUACUUGACUGAUGAAGAACAGACUAGUUGGAAGACAGAAAUGUGUAGGAGAUUGAAUGGAAAAAAGUAAUUUGUGGUUGUCAUCCAUAGCAACAAGAUGAGCUGACAGUUCCAGGGCUGCAAUUGAUCUCUCCUUUCAUUGUUGAGGAGAAACAGUACUGCUUAAAUGUCAGGCAUAACGAUCACUGAACACAGCACUAACACUAUCUUGGUAUAUAUUGCUUAGACUUUGUACUUUCAGGUAGCUUUCAUAACUGUUCCACUCUGGUUAUACUUCAUGUUUGGCUACAGAGAGGAAAUGAGUGAAAUAAGUGUUGUAUACCAGGAGUUUCUGUAGUAAUUUAAUGUGUGUGAACUUGUAUAAUGCGUUUUGAGAGUCCUUUUCUGCUUUGAUCCAAACUUUUGGGUCUGUUCUGGUAAUGGCCCUUAGCGUAUAAGCCUGUGAGGAACAUGUAGACAGAGCCAUUGUUGGUCCACGUGUAUAAAGGACAUCCUAUGAAAGAUUGAAUACCUCAGUUUAAUUUUUAUUUAUUUAUUUUCUUUACAGGGAAAGCCACUUAUCUGAAUUCUUGAAUAGUACAUGUAAUAUUUAUUAAGAGUGUACCAGAAAAAGAAAAUCAGGCUGGUAAGAACAGAAAAGCUUAGCUGCAAAACCCAGUGUAAGUAGAUUAACCACCUCAGCAGUCUCAAGCAAAUCCCUAUUAUUUGAAAAUAUCUAAAUCAGGCUUUCACAUAUACAUCUAGGUUUAGAUUUAGUUUUGACAAAGAUUGUAGAACAAGAUGGGUUUCAAAUUGAGAUAAAGCACUCUUUUUUUUUCGAUUUUGUGUAGAAAGUCUAUCCCUCCGUGGGUGGAAGGGAACUGUUGAACCACUGCAAAUAACAGCAAUAAACUCAAGCCUUCAUCUGAAAGGUUGGACUAC